UACGGAGGGAGCUAGCGUUGUUCGGAAUUACUGGGCGUAAAGCGCACGUAGGUGGCGAUUUAAGUCAGAGGUGAAAGCCCGGGGCUCAACCCCGGAACUGCCUUUGAGACUGGAUUGCUAGAAUCUUGGAGAGGCGAGUGGAAUUCCGAGUGUAGAGGUGAAAUUCGUAGAUAUUCGGAAGAACACCAGUGGCGAAGGCGGCUCGCUGGACAAGUAUUGACGCUGAGGUGCGAAAGCGUGGGGAGCAAACAGG
rnacentral:rRNA from 1 species